rnacentral:rRNA from 1 species
CGAACGGGUGCGUAACACGUGAGCAACCUGCCCCGAAGUCUGGGAUAACACCGGGAAACCGGUGCUAAUACCGGAUACCCCCACCGGAUCGCAUGGUCUGGUGAGGAAAGAUUUAUCGCUUCGGGAGGGACUCGCGGGCUAUCAGCUUGUUGGUGGGGUAACGGCCUACCAAGGCAUCGACGGCUAGCUGGUCUGAGAGGACGACCAGCCACACUGGGACUGAGACACGGCCCAG